AAGGAUGGUAGAAGAGACAGACAUUAUUACCCUAUAUACAUGUAUGAUUACACAGCUGGUAUGACUCUGCAUCAUGUACAGCCAGAUGAAUGAGAAAUUGUGCUCCAUUUGUGUACAAUUUGUCAAAAUGCAUUCUACUGUCAUGCAUAAAUAAUUAUAACAAAUUAAAAAAACAGUUAUAAAUAUCUUAAAUACUUCUGUACAUGUAGCAAUAUGUACAUGUUAAGAUAUACCAAUAUAUUGUAACACUCUGCAAACAAACUCAAUACUUGUGUUCUCCAUUAAAUAUGAAUAGUCAACCUGCUUUACAUAACUACUGAGUUAAAGUUUCUUUAAAAAACAAACAAACAAACAAAAAAAAAAACGUUCUCACCAAAGGAAAGAACAAUUACCUCUACAAGUCCAAAUGUAAACAUUUUUAGAAGUAAUCAAUUCAGAUCAGCAUCCACAGGCAAAUCUAGUAAAUCUGAAUCAAUUUUUUUUAAAAAAGCACCUAAGUCUUAAACAUGGAACCAAACAUAAAUCUCUGUGGCCAAAUACAAACUAAUUUAUCAAUAGCUUAAUCAAGAGGAACCUAUAAUAUGAUGGAUUCUGCAUGAAUGAUUUUUCAUGAUGAUGCUAAUCUCAAAUAUAACAUCUUCUAUUACUAAUGAAAAUAGAUGCAACUCCAUGCUUCACUUAAAGAGACCAACCAAAUCACCAGUUGAGAAAUGGAACUGGGGGAGGUGGGUAGUCAGGUUUGAAUCAAAGUAAAGUAUGGCAUCAUACAGAAAAUGAAAGGAAGAGAAGGCAGACCCUACAUCCUUUAAGAACCGUAUGAUGAGGAGACACAUUCUAGACACCACAAAUAAAGAAAAUGGCAUUAAUGUUUGGAAAAGCACCAGAGUAGUGUUAAAUCUUGUCCCAUCCU
rnacentral:lncRNA from 1 species